rnacentral:lncRNA from 1 species
UCGCUUGUGCUCGUGCCAUAACGGCCGGCAGUGCUCCGAAAGGUGAGCACUGCCUUCGGCACGCCGAGACCUGUCAGCAGGUGUCUCGGUUUGGCUGAAUGAUUUCUAGUUUGUGUAGACGGACCAUAAAAGCGCCGAAAUCACAUGAAAUAAUGCGAUUUCGGGUAAUCGGGAGGGCUUUUAUGUAUUUUGGGUUGUUGCGGCUGCUGUUGGCAGCAUGGGUGAGCAGUGGGUAACCUUUGGACUGAUUGUCCAAGGCCCCGGACCUUUGCGAAGAUCGGAAAUGUAUUUUCGGUGCGUUUGUCGGCAAAAUCCGCCGACGGAACGCGGUUUUGGUUCGGAAUUAUUCCGACGGUGCUUCGUGAGCUAUUGUGUAGUCGCUGAGCCUUGUUGGCUGGUCACUCGCGUCAUUUCGAGAGUUCAGAAAUGACGAGUGAGCGACGGUGGGUUCCGUUGUCGAAAUUGACACUUCCGGGAACCCGGAUCCCAACAAUUAUCCACCAAUAGUUGUUUGGUUGUGUAUCCUUGUGUUUGCUGCCAUGUCACACUAAAAUAAGUGUUUAGUGGCAGCGAAUGACUCGUGGCAUGAGUCGGUGCCUUCCGGGAUAGUUAGUGGGUCCCGGCGGAGUGCCGGUGCGAUUUUCGGGACUUCCGGCGAGUUAGGUAAUCGGUAUUGGGAAAUCGAUUUCUGUGAGAUUGUUUGUGGGCUAUGCUUUUAGGGUUUCUUAGCUGUGGGUUAGACACUAAC